rnacentral:rRNA from 1 species
UACCAUGCAGUCGAGCGGUAGCACAGAGAGCUUGCUCUCGGGUGACGAGCGGCGGACGGGUGAGUAAUGUCUGGGAAACUGCCUGAUGGAGGGGGAUAACUACUGGAAACGGUAGCUAAUACCGCAUAACGUCGCAAGACCAAAGUGGGGGACCUUCGGGCCUCAUGCCAUCAGAUGUGCCCAGAUGGGAUUAGCUGGUAGGUGGGGUAACGGCUCACCUAGGCGACGAUCCCUAGCUGGUCUGAGAGGAUGACCAGCCACACUGGAACUGAGACACGGUCCAGACUCCUACGGGAGGCAGCAGUGGGGAAUAUUGCACAAUGGGCGCAAGCCUGAUGCAGCCAUGCCGCGUGUGUGAAGAAGGCCUUCGGGUUGUAAAGCACUUUCAGCGGGGAGGAAGGCGGUGAGGUUAAUAACCUUGUCGAUUGACGUUACCCGCAGAAGAAGCACCGGCUAACUCCGUGCCAGCAGCCGCGGUAAUACGGAGGGUGCAAGCGUUAAUCGGAAUUACUGGGCGUAAAGCGCACGCAGGCGGUCUGUCAAGUCGGAUGUGAAAUCCCCGGGCUCAACCUGGGAACUGCAUUCGAAACUGGCAGGCUAGAGUCUUGUAGAGGGGGGUAGAAUUCCAGGUGUAGCGGUGAAAUGCGUAGAGAUCUGGAGGAAUACCGGUGGCGAAGGCGGCCCCCUGGACAAAGACUGACGCUCAGGUGCGAAAGCGUGGGGAGCAAACAGGAUUAGAUACCCUGGUAGUCCACGCUGUAAACGAUGUCGAUUUGGAGGUUGUGCCCUUGAGGCGUGGCUUCCGGAGCUAACGCGUUAAAUCGACCGCCUGGGGAGUACGGCCGCAAGGUUAAAACUCAAAUGAAUUGACGGGGGCCCGCACAAGCGGUGGAGCAUGUGGUUUAAUUCGAUGCAACGCGAAGAACCUUACCUGGUCUUGACAUCCACAGAACUUAGCAGAGAUGCUUUGGUGCCUUCGGGAACUGUGAGACAGGUGCUGCAUGGCUGUCGUCAGCUCGUGUUGUGAAAUGUUGGGUUAAGUCCCGCAACGAGCGCAACCCUUAUCCUUUGUUGCCAGCGGUCAGGCCGGGAACUCAAAGGAGACUGCCAGUGAUAAACUGGAGGAAGGUGGGGAUGACGUCAAGUCAUCAUGGCCCUUACGACCAGGGCUACACACGUGCUACAAUGGCAUAUACAAAGAGAAGCGACCUCGCGAGAGCAAGCGGACCUCAUAAAGUAUGUCGUAGUCCGGAUUGGAGUCUGCAACUCGACUCCAUGAAGUCGGAAUCGCUAGUAAUCGUAGAUCAGAAUGCUACGGUGAAUACGUUCCCGGGCCUUGUACACACCGCCCGUCACACCAUGGGAGUGGGUUGCAAAAGAAGUAGGUAGCUUAACCUUCGGGAGGGCGCUAC